AAACCUGAGGCCCCAGCCACGCCAGUGAAAGAAGAGCCUCCUCCCAUCAACGUGGGAAUGCUGAACGGAGGCCACCGCAUUGACUCUGUGCUGCAAGAGAAGCCGGUUGAAAGCUUUAACGAGUAUCUGUUUGCACUGCAAGGCCAUCUUUGCUACUGGGAAUCGGAGGACACAGCGCUGCUACUGCUGAAAGAGAUUUACCAGACAAAGGGCAUCAAUAUGGACCAGGCUCUCUUAUAAUGGCAAACUGACGAGCUGCACCGGUCUGGUAAGUCGUCUUGUUCCUUGGACAGCCUCUGCUAUUUGAGUGACAUUUUCCAUUUUUGUUGUUCUGGCUCUAGGCUCACCAGUCAGACAAACUACCAGCAGCUCUGGCCCCAGGAGAGAGAGUCUCGCCCGCCCACCCGCCCCAGAGGAGAGAGAGAGAGACUGGCUCGGCCGCCUCAAGUAAUUCCUGUUCUCCUGCUGUUAGCACUCUGGCAUUAGCCCUGCAUGCCCCACAGCAGCCCUGCUGCAUAGUUUCUCCCCCGGGCUGCACAACUUCAAAAUCUCCAGGUCUGUGUGGACUACAACUCCCAUGAUCCCCAGCCACAGUGAUCCCCCUAUCACACCCACCUCGAAUGGCCUUCAGGACACGCCCACUUGAGAGCCCAUUAUGGCAGUUGGGACCAACCUUUGUCCUGUGCACGUCCCACCCAGGCAGGCAGUCCCUUCUCGCCAAAGAGGCCCAGGAGGCAGGGUGCCCAGCUGGCAGUCGGGAGGCACACUCCAGGUUGACACGCCAAGUGCAGGGCUGACUCGCCGUGUCAUGGGGUGCCUGGCAAAGCAGCCGUGCCUCCCCCCUGUCCCACAGUCAGCAUUUCCUGUAACGGGUUCUUGGAUGCUCUUGGCCACAGCACUCCUCAUCCCCAGCUGCAUUCGCCACCUCGCCUCACCCAGCAGACCUGCAGCCCUAGUUCUGAGCAGUGCCAUUUGGGAUGACCAAGUUCUGGAUGAGAACCUCCGUAGUAGUGGUGGACAUAAGAAGAGGCCGGUCUUGGCUGGUCAGAUCACAAAUGGCUGUUGGAAAUUUAUGCACUUUGUAAAAUGUGUCUAUUUAAAAAUGGUAUUUAAGUUUUUCCAGUAA